UUGGAGGGCAAGUCUGGUGCCAGCAGCCGCGGUAAUUCCAGCUCCAAUAGCGUAUAUUAAAGUUGUUGCAGUUAAAAAGCUCGUAGUUGAAUUUCGGGAUUGACGUGAUGGUCAUGCCUUAAGGGGUAUGAACUGUUACUGUUGAUUUCUCACCUUCUGGAGAAACUUGAUGUCCUUUAUUGGGUGUCUUGCGGAUCCAGGACCUUUACCUUGAAAAAAUUAGAGUGUUUAAAGCAGGCAUUUUUGCUCGAAUACAUUAGCAUGGAAUAAUAGAAUAGGACGGCAUGGUUCUAUUUUGUUGGUUUCUAGGAUCACCGUAAUGAUUAAUAGGGAUAGUUGGGGGCAUUAGUAUUCAAUUGUCAGAGGUGAAAUUCUUGGAUUUAUUGAAGACUAACUACUGCGAAAGCAUUUGCCAAGGAUGUUUUCAUUAAUCAAGAACGAAAGUUAGGGGAUCGAAGACGAUCAGAUACCGUCGUAGUCUUAACCAUAAACUAUGCCGACUAGGAAUCAGACGAUGUUAAUUUUUUAAUGACUCGUUUGGCACCUUACGGGAAACCAAAG
rnacentral:rRNA from 1 species